CUACGGGUGGCAGCAGUGGGGAAUAUUGGACAAUGGGGGAAACCCUGAUCCAGCAAUGCCGCGUGUGUGAAGAAGGCCUGCGGGUUGUAAAGCACUUUCGGUUGGGAGGACUGCUUCUAGCACUAAUAUUGUGGGAAAUUGACGUUACCUUCAGAAGAAGCACCGGCUAACUCCGUGCCAGCAGCCGCGGUAAUACGGAGGGUGCAAGCGUCAAUCGGAAUUACUGGGCGUAAAGCGCGCGUAGGCGGCUAGAUCAGUCGGGUGUGAAAGCCCCGGGCUUAACCUGGGAACUGCAUCCGAUACUGUCUAGCUUGAGUACAGGAGAGGAGAGUGGAAUUCCACAUGUAGCGGUGAAAUGCGUAGAUAUGUGGAGGAACACCAAUGGCGAAGGCAGCUCUCUGGCCUGAUACUGACGCUGAGGUGCGAAAGCGUGGGGAGCAAACAGGAUUAGAUACCCGCGUAGUC
rnacentral:rRNA from 1 species